rnacentral:SRP_RNA from 1 species
GCCAGGUGUGGUGGCGCACAUCUGUAAUCCCAGCUACUUGGGAAGCUGAGGCAGGAGAAUCGCUUGAACCCAGGAUGUGGAGGUUGCACAGUGAGCUGAGAUCGCACAACCACACUCCAGCCUGGGUGACAGAGUGAGAUUCUGUCUCAA